rnacentral:rRNA from 1 species
CCUACGGGUGGCAGCAGUGGGGAAUAUUGGGCAAUGGGCGCAAGCCUGACCCAGCAACGCCGCGUGAAGGAAGAAGGCUUUCGGGUUGUAAACUUCUUUUCUGAGGGACGAAGAAAGUGACGGUACCUCAGGAAUAAGCCACGGCUAACUACGUGCCAGCAGCCGCGGGAAUACGGAGGUGGCAAGCGUUAUCCGGAUUUAUUGGGUGUAAAGGGCGUGGAGGCGGGAACGCAAGUCAGAUGUGAAAACUCAGGGCUCAACCCUGAGCCUGCAUUUGCAACUGUUUUUCUUGCGUGCUGGGGAGGCAAUCGGAAUUCCGUUUGUAGCGGUGAACUGCGUAGAUAUCCGGCGGAACCCCAGUGGCGAAGGCGGCUUGCUGGACAGUACCUGACGCUGAGGCGCGAAAGCGUGGGGAGCAAACAGGAUUAGAUACCCGAGUAGUC